UGGGGAAUAUUGGACAAUGGGCGCAAGCCUGAUCCAGCCAUGCCGCGUGAGUGAUGAAGUCCUUAGGGUUGUAAAGCUCUUUUGUCCGGGACGAUAAUGACGGUACCGGAAGAAUCAGCCCCGGCUAACUUCGUGCCAGCAGCCGCGGUAAUACGAAGGGGGCUAGCGUUGCUCGGAAUCACUGGGCGUAAAGGGCGCGUAGGCUGCUAUUUAAGUCGGGGGUGAAAGCCUGUUGCUCAACCAAAGAAUUGCCUUCGAUACUGGAUAGCUUGAGUAUGGUAGAGGUUGGUGGAACAGCGAGUGUAGAGGUGAAAUUCGUAGAUAUUCGCAAGAACACCGGUGGCGAAGGCGGCCAACUGGACCAUUACUGACGCUGAGGCGCGAAAGCGUGGGGAGCAAACAGG
rnacentral:rRNA from 1 species